rnacentral:rRNA from 1 species
UUGAGCGCUGGCGGCAUGCUUUACACAUGCAAGUCGAACGGUAACAGGCCGCAAGGUGCUGACGAGUGGCGAACGGGUGAGUAAUGCAUCGGAACGUGCCCAGUCGUGGGGGAUAACGCAGCGAAAGCUGCGCUAAUACCGCAUACGAUCUAUGGAUGAAAGCGGGGGACCGUAAGGCCUCGCGCGAUUGGAGCGGCCGAUGUCAGAUUAGGUAGUCGGUGGGGUAAAGGCUCACCAAGCCAACGAUCUGUAGCUGGUCUGAGAGGACGACCAGCCACACUGGGACUGAGACACGGCCCAGACUCCUACGGGAGGCAGCAGUGGGGAAUGUUGGACAAUGGGCGCAAGCCUGAUCCAGCAUUGCCGCGUGCAGGAAGAAGGCCUUCGGGUUGUAAACUGCUUUUGUACGGAACGAAAAGGCUCUGGUUAAUACCUGGGGCACAUGACGGUACCGUAAGAAUAAGCACCGGCUAACUACGU